ACACUCACGGACACAGAGACGCAGAUGGCAGGAGCAUGUGUGUGAAGAUUCACCUUUCCACCUCCUCCCUGUGGAAAGCUGUGCCAGGUUUACGUUUCAUGCACCCCUCCAUCCCCACAGUCACAGCUCAUCUUCUCAGAAUCAUCAGCCAUCAGCUCCUCACCCAUGAGGUCUCUUCAGCCUUCAGCACCACUAUAUUGUCUAGACUCCAUAGGGGGAUUCUUUCUGGUGUCACUCAGAAAAGAUAUUCUUCAAGACAAAACCUCCCCAUGGAGUCUAAGCGCCAAGGAACUCCU